rnacentral:rRNA from 1 species
AUUAAACGCUGGCGGCAUGCCUUACACAUGCAAGUCGAACGGUAGCGCGGGGCAACCUGGCGACGAGUGGCGAACGGGUGAGUAAAGCAUCGGAACGUGCCCUGGAAUGGGGGAUAACGUAGCGAAAGUUACGCUAAUACCGCAUAUUCUGUGAGCAGGAAAGCAGGGGAUCGCAAGACCUUGCGUUCUGGGAGCGGCCGAUGUCGGAUUAGCUAGUUGGUGGGGUAAAAGCCUACCAAGGCUAAGACGGGUAGCUGGUCUGAGAGGACGACCGGCCUCACUGGAACUGAGACACGGUCCAGACACCUACGGGUGGCAGCAGUCGAGAAUUUUUCACAAUGGGCGAAAGCCUGAUGGAGCGACGCCGCGUGGGGGAUGAAGGGCUUCGGGCUCGUAAACCCCUGUCAUUUGCGAACAAAGGCGCCAACCUAACACGUUGUCGUCUGAUAGUAGCAGAAGAGGAAGGGACGGCUAACUCUGUGCCAGCAGCCGCGGUAAU